rnacentral:pre_miRNA from 1 species
AAAAUACUCCCUCCGUUCCGAAUUACUUGUCUUGGAUUUGUCUAGAUACGGAGGUAUCUAGAGUCUAGAUACAUCCGUAUCUAGACAAAUCCAAGACAAGUAAUUCGGAACGGAGGGAGUAGCUU